rnacentral:rRNA from 1 species
CAACUUUUAAAGGGGGCGAACCAUGCAAGUCGAACGGUAGCACAGAGGAGCUUGCUCCUCGGGUGACGAGUGGCGGACGGGUGAGUAAUGUCUGGGAAACUGCCCGAUGGAGGGGGAUAACUACUGGAAACGGUAGCUAAUACCGCAUAACGUCGCAAGACCAAAGUGGGGGACCUUCGGGCCUCACACCAUCGGAUGUGCCCAGAUGGGAUUAGCUAGUAGGGGGGGUAACGGCUCACCUAGGCGACGAUCCCUAGCUGGUCUGAGAGGAUGACCAGCCACACUGGAACUGAGACACGGUCCAAACUCCUACGGGAGGCAGAAG